rfam:Planctomyces sp. SH-PL62, complete genome.
GCCGGGGUAGCUCAGUUGGUCAGAGCGGCGGUCUCAUAAUCCGCAGGUCUCGGGUUCGAAUCCCGACCCCGGUA